AGCAUAGUGUCAUGUUAACCACAAGUGCAAAAAAUAAAUCCUCUUUUGCAACUCAAAACUCAUUGUUCAGUAUGAGUUUCAAUACAUAUAAGAAGGAAUAUC
rnacentral:snoRNA from 1 species